rnacentral:rRNA from 1 species
UACGUAGGGGGCGAGCGUUGUCCGGAAUGACUGGGCGUAAAGGGAGUGUAGGCGGCUCUUUAAGUUAUAUGUGAAAUCCCGCGGCUUAACCGUGGAAGUGCAUAUAAAACUGGGGAGCUGGAGUGCAGGAGAGGUGAGUGGAAUUCCUAGUGUAGCGGUGGAAUGCGUAGAUAUUAGGAAGAACACCGGUGGCGAAGGCGGCUCACUGGACUGUAACUGACGCUGAGGCUCGAAAGCGUGGGGAGCAAACAGG